GACGAACGCUGGCGGCGUGCUUAACACAUGCAAGUCGAACGGAAAGGCCCUGCUUUUGUGGGGUGCUCGAGUGGCGAACGGGUGAGUAACACGUGAGUAACCUGCCCUUGACUUUGGGAUAACUUCAGGAAACUGGGGCUAAUACCGGAUAGGAGCUCCUGCUGCAUGGUGGGGGUUGGAAAGUUUCGGCGGUUGGGGAUGGACUCGCGGCUUAUCAGCUUGUUGGUGGGGUAGUGGCUUACCAAGGCUUUGACGGGUAGCCGGCCUGAGAGGGUGACCGGCCACAGUGGGACUGAGGUACGGCGCGGACGGGUACGGGAGGCAGCAGGGGGGAAUAUGGGACAAUGGGCGGAAGCCUGAUGCCGCAACGCCGCGGGGGGGAUGAGGGCGUUCGGGGUGUAAACCGAUUUCGCCGGUGACGAAGCGUGAGUGAAGGUAAUGGGUAAAGAAGCACCGGAUAAGUACGUG
rnacentral:rRNA from 1 species